rnacentral:rRNA from 1 species
UAGUCCACACCGUAAACGAUGAGAGCUAGUUGUCUGCAAGCAUGCUUGUAGGUGACGCAGCUAACGCAUUAAGCUCUCCGCCUGGGGAGUACGGUCGCAAGAUUAAAACUCAAAGAAAUUGACGGGGGCCCGCACAAGCGGUGGAGCAUGUGGUUUAAUUCGAUGCAACGCGAAGAACCUUACCAGGGCUUGACAUGUCGUGAAUUUUCUUGAAAAAGAAAGUGCCUUCGGGGAACACGAACACAGGUGGUGCAUGGUUGUCGUCAGCUCGUGCCGUGAGGUGUCAGGUUAAGUCCUAUAACGAGCGCAACCCCUACCGUUAGUUGCCAGCAAGUAAAGUUGGGGACUCUAGCGGGACUGCCGGUGCAAACCGAGAGGAAGGUGGGGAUGACGUCAAAUCAUCACGGGCCCUUACGUCCUGGGGCUACACACGUGCUACAAUGGUCGGUACAGA